rnacentral:rRNA from 1 species
ACGGGUGCGUAACACGUAUGUAACCUACCCUUGUCAGGGGGAUAGCCUCUCGAAAGAGAGAUUAAGCCCGCAUAACAUGAAGACACAGCAUUGUGAUUUCAUCAAAUAUUUAUAGGACAGGGAUGGGCAUGCGGAACAUUAGCUAGUUGGUAAGGUAAUGGCUUACCAAGGCAACGAUGUUUAGGGGAUCUGAGAGGAUGACCCCCCACACUGGUACUGAGACACGGACCAGACUCCUACGGGAGGCAGCAGUAAGGAAUAUUGGUCAAUGGGCGGAAGCCUGAACCAGCCAUGCCGCGUGCAGGAAGACGGCCCUACGGGUUGUAAACUGCUUUUGCAGGGGAAUAAACCCCCCAACAAGCUUGGGGGUUGAAUGUACUCUGAGAAUAAGGAUCGGCUAACUCCGUGCCAGCAGCCGCGG